UAGCACUGUCUUUAAACCUGUGGAGCCCUCUCACGGCUCAAUGGGCCAAGCAACAGUGCCAAAGUAAAGGGUUGUUAUAUAACUGGAGUCUCUUGGAAUUCCUCCCAAGUUGCUCUUUUAAAAGCAACCUACAAUU